GGGCCCCUUGGGGAGCCCCUCCUAUCAUCACCAACCUUAGUUAACAUUUGCUGUUUACUGUUUCCAGGCACUGGGCAGGUGUUCUGCAUACAUUAAAAUCUAAUUGAAUCCUCACAACAGCUCCACGGAACAGUUGUCAAGGCUGACCCAGAACCUAAGGGAGACAGACCAGAGGGAUAAAUCCAGGAUCCUCCAGUGAUUCGUGUGCACAUUGAAGUUCAACAGGCUCUGCUCCAGAU
rnacentral:lncRNA from 1 species